UAAACAACCUGCCUUAAGGAUGGGGAUAACAGACGGAAACGACUGCUAAUACCGAAUACGUUCUAAGCAUCGCAUGGUGCAUAGAAGAAAGGGUGGCCUCUACAAGAAAGCUAUCGCCUUAAGAGGGGUUUGCGACUGAUUAGGUAGUUGGUGAGGUAACGGCUCACCAAGCCGACGAUCAGUAGCCGGUCUGAGAGGACGAACGGCCACACUGGAACUGAGACACGGUCCAG
rnacentral:rRNA from 1 species